GAUGAACGCUGGCGGCGUGCCUAAUACAUGCAAGUCGAGCGAAUGGAUUAAGAGCUUGCUCUUAUGAAGUUAGCGGCGGACGGGUGAGUAACACGUGGGUAACCUGCCCAUAAGACUGGGAUAACUCCGGGAAACCGGGGCUAAUACCGGAUAACAUUUUGAACCGCAUGGUUCGAAAUUGAAAGGCGGCUUCGGCUGUCACUUAUGGAUGGACCCGCGUCGCAUUAGCUAGUUGGGGAGGUAACGGCUCACCAAGGCAACGAUGGGUAGCCGACCUGAGAGGGUGAUCGGCCACAAUGGGACUGAGACACGGCCCAGACUCCUACGGGAGGCAGCAGUAGGGAAUCUUCCGCAAUGGACGAAAGUCUGACGGAGCAACGCCGCGUGAGUGAUGAAGGCUUUCGGGUCGUAAAACUCUGUUGUUAGGGAAGAACAAGUGCUAGUUGAAUAAGCUGGCACCUUGACGGUACCUAACCAGAAAGCCACGGCUAACUACGUGCCAGCCGCCGCAGUAA
rnacentral:rRNA from 1 species